rnacentral:tRNA from 1 species
GGCUUCAUAGCCAGUUGGUUAGAGCGUUGCACCGGUAUCACAAGGUCACGGGUUCAAACCCCGUUGAAGUCC